GACGAACGCUGGCGGCGUGCUUAACACAUGCAAGUCGAACGGAAAGGCCCUGCUUUUGUGGGUUGCUCGAGUGGCGAACGGGUGAGUAACACGUGAGUAACCUGCCCUUGACUUUGGGAUAACUUCAGGAAACUGGGGCUAAUACCGGAUAGGAGCUCCUGCUGCAUGGUGGGGGUUGGAAAGUUUCGGCGGUUGUGGAUGGACUCGCGGCUUAUCAGCUUGUUGGUGUGGUAGUGGCUUUCCAAGCCUUUGACGGGUAGCCGGCCUGAGAGGGUUAACGGCGACAUUGGGACUGAGAUACGGCCCAGAAUCCUACGGGAGGCAGCAGGGGGGAAUAUUGCACAGUGGGCGGAAGCCUGAUGCAGCAACGCCGCGUGCGGGAUGACGGCCUUCGGGUUGUAAACCGCUUUCGCCUGUGACGAAGCGUGAGUGACGGUAAUGGGUAAAGAAGCACCGGCUAACUACGUG
rnacentral:rRNA from 1 species